rnacentral:rRNA from 1 species
UACGUAGGGUGCGAGCGUUGUCCGGAAUCAUUGGGCGUAAAGCGCGCGUAGGCGGCCCGGUAAGUCCGCUGUGAAAGUCCAGGGCUCAACCCUGGAAAGCCGGUGGAUACUGCCGGGCUAGAGUCCGGAAGAGGCGAGUGGAAUUCCUGGUGUAGCGGUGGAAUGCGCAGAUAUCAGGAGGAACACCAAUAGCGAAGGCAGCUCGCUGGGACGGUACUGACGCUGAGGUGCGAAAGCGUGGGGAGCGAACAGGG